UACGUAGGGCGCAAGCGUUAUCCGGAAUUAUUGGGCGUAAAGAGCUCGUAGGCGGUUUGUCGCGUCUGCUGUGAAAGACCGGGGCUCAACUCCGGUUCUGCAGUGGGUACGGGCAGACUAGAGUGCAGUAGGGGAGACUGGAAUUCCUGGUGUAGCGGUGAAAUGCGCAGAUAUCAGGAGGAACACCGAUGGCGAAGGCAGGGCUCUGGGCUGUAACUGACGCUGAGGAGCGAAAGCGUGGGGAGCGAACAGG
rnacentral:rRNA from 1 species